CCACAUCUGUUGACUACAAAUGGAUCAACUGUAUGAAAAAUAAGAGAUUCACAGAGAAAGGAUGGAAGAGACUUGAACCACCUGGUAAUGCAGAGGAGAAUGCCAAAGUCUUGUACCUGCAGCAAGAAGCCGGCCCCAGAGAGGCUGACCCCAGAGGUGAGCUGGGCACAGCAGCCCCAACAGCCAGGAAGGAGGCAGUCCUGAGGCAACGAGCAGGAACCCCAAGGUCUCCAAGGUGUGAGGGGAUCAGCCACCAGCCUGAAUCCACAGCUCUGCUUGCUGGGUCCACCUGCACUGAGCGGGUUGGGUCCACAGGAGGGGAUCAGGGCUCUACCCACAGAGGCAGAAGCACAAAGAUCACAGCACUGCUUUAGCUAUGAUGGUAUCCAGCUGGAUGUGAGUCUGCCAGUGCCUCCCAGAGUCUGACCUACUGGAGGUAGGAGGUGGGGUGUGGAAAAGGGCCAUGGGGACAGGGGAAAUGUCAGCAAGAAACCAAGUAAAUCCCAGGAGGCCAAUACUGUGAGUCCUCUGGACUGAAGAAUAUCUGUUGGGAGAUACUCUAUAGCCUGGAGCGCAUUCACAGAGGUGGGAAGGAGUCAGGAAAUGCACUGAACUUCUGUGUAAACAAUAAAUGAUGGGACAGAGUAAGUGAAAACAAUCUACUUUUUAAGAAAUCAUGCCAUA
rnacentral:lncRNA from 10 species